rnacentral:rRNA from 1 species
GAUGAACGCUGGCGGCGUGCCUAAUACAUGCAAGUCGAGCGAAUGGAUUAAGAGCUUGCUCUUAUGAAGUUAGCGGCGGACGGGUGAGUAACACGUGGGUAACCUGCCCAUAAGACUGGGAUAACUCCGGGAAACCGGGGCUAAUACCGGAUAACAUUUUGAACCGCAUGGUUCGAAAUUGAAAGGCGGCUUCGGCUGUCACUUAUGGAUGGACCCGCGUCGCAUUAGCUAGUUGGUGAGGUAACGGCUCACCAAGGCAACGAUGCGUAGCCGACCUGAGAGGGGGAUCGGCCACACUGGGACUGAGACACGGCCCAGACUCCUACGGGAGGCAGCAGUAGGGAAUCUUCCGCAAUGGACGAAAGUCUGUCGGAGCAACGCCGCGUGAGUGAUGAAGGCUUUCGGGUCGUAAAACUCUGUUGUUGGGGAAGAACAAGUGCUAGUUGAAUAAGCUGGCACCUUGACGGUACCUAACCAGAAAGCCACGGCUAACUACGUGCCAGCAGCCGCCGUAA